rnacentral:lncRNA from 1 species
GAAGUUAGCUUACAAGAAAAAUAUGACAUUUAAAUGGAUGUUUUCGUGGGUAAUGGCCAGAGCUGGCCCUUGGGACACCCAUGCUUGCGGCAGAUUAUUUUAUAUAAAUAUUUUAGCUCUCAAUUCCAAAAUCGGCUUUAGUCUAGUGGUGCAGGUAUCGGCUGCUCUCUUAUCUUCCCUGGGUCCGAACUUUUGAAGUUCCCAAUAUACAUUAUUAAAUUUUUUUCUUCGUUUUCUGUCAAA